UCUCUUCCGGCAAGGGCGCCGUGAUUGCCUCUGUUAAGUUAAUUGCUGAGUCGACAUUAAAGUUAAGAUUUGAAAUUACAGUAUAUCUGUGUUGGCUGAAUUGUUUGAAGUACAUUGGUUUGCUGGAGUUGAUGAUCAAGAAGUGUGCUAAUUGUGUUUAAAUCAAGUACAGUACAACCAGAAGACGUGAAGUACAGAAGUCAGCUACAGUAUAGUAAAACAAAUACUAUACAUCGUCACAACUAAUAUACAACGUUACAUGGUGGCAGCGGUUAAAGAAAUUUAUUUCAUUGGUACGUCAUCGGAUGCCGAAGUGAUCGGAUAACGACUACAGUAAAUUGGUGGGGCUGUGAAAUGACGAAUUGGUCUGGUCUGGUAAUGCAGUUGAUAUGGUGAAGCAAAAUUGAUCUGGUAGAGCAGAGUUGGCCUAGGUGACACAGAGAAGAGUUCAACUGAAGUGACAUGAAUAUUUGAGAAGUUGGUGGGCAACGCUAAACUGGUGUAUGGUUAAAGAGACGAACAUUUUGGUGCAGUGCAGCUGUUAAGAACUGAAGUCAAGACGCAAAUUGCAGUGGUGAAGACAGCGCUGUUAUGGUGUGGCAAGGUCAAGACAAGAUAACUGAAGAAGAGUAAAUUGUGUAUACAAAUUUGAGGCUUUCCUAGCUUUCAAUAUAAGUGUUCGGUGUAUACAGUUGGACUAAUUAAGCAAAGAGAAAUCUGGUUAGAUUAAGCAAAUCUGUGAAUCAUCACGUGGAUAUAUUGCAAGCUUCACAACCGUUGAUGUAUUGGACGCCGUACUCGAAUACGUAGGAAUGAAAUACCCAGACGGUUUACACGAGAUUGGAUUAUCAUGCCAGGUGGGUUUGGAUCAGCAUUUUGGUAAAAAUUGGAAGGGAAAUUCAGGAGCGGAGAUUCUUUCAUCUAUUCCAUGGGCAAAUGAACAGCCUGAUUUAGGAAAUUCUGUACAUUGUGGGACUAGGAUCGAAGCAAGCACUGGUAAAAUGUAUGAUAUUCCUGCUAAUACUAUAACCCCAGCGUAAAAUCGAGAACAUUCAUUUGUAAAUAUGAAUUUCUGUAUUUCCAAUCUGAAGAAUUGUGAAGUCACUUUGGAUGCUUCGUACAUGAGAUGUGCGUUGCGAUGUCAGCAACAGACCGAGUGCCAGGGAGUUCAUCUCAAUGAUGCUGGAUGUCAGAUUGAAAAGCAGAUAAAUGAUGAAUCUAAAGCACAUUAUGCGAAACUAAUUUACUCAAAAUAGUACUAAAUAGGAAAAGAAAAAGCUUGUGUAUAACAUAGAAUUCAUAUUUCUACCUUAUUUGAUGUUCAGACCUUUUGUCUGUUUAAAGCUUGUCUUAGACGAUUGAUUCACAGUGUAUUUGUAGUAAAUCAAAAUGUUAGUCUUGGUUAAACAGUAUGUUAGUGUCAUAAAUAUACGAGUCUCUGUUAAGUUUUGAGAUGGUAUUAGUAAACUAUUUUUUAAAGUUAUACAAUAGAAGUAAGGAUAUGCAUCAUCGGCUUGCCUGUAAAUUGAAUAAAAUAAUAAAUAAAUUUAUAAAUA
rnacentral:lncRNA from 1 species